rnacentral:tRNA from 1 species
CUGGGCUAAACUAUUCUUUUGCUAGUACAUAUAUGUACUUACCCCAUAUU